AACGAACGCUGGCGGCAGGCCUAACACAUGCAAGUCGAGCGGAUGAUGGGAGCUUGCUCCUGGAUUCAGCGGCGGACGGGUGAGUAAUGCCUAGGAAUCUGCCUGGUAGUGGGGAACAACGUUUCGAAAGGAACGCUAAUACCGCAUACGUCCUACGGGAGAAAGCAGGGGACCUUCGGGCCUUGCGCUAUCAGAUGAGCCUAGGUCGGAUUAGCUAGUAGGUGAGGUAAAGGCUCACCUAGGCGACGAUCCGUAACUGGUCUGAGAGGAUGAUCAGUCACACUGGAACUGAGACACGGUCCAGACUCCUACGGGAGGCAGCAGUGGGGAAUAUUGGACAAUGGGCGAAAGCCUGAUCCAGCCAUGCCGCGUGUGUGAAGAAGGUCUUCGGAUUGUAAAGCACUUUAAGUUGGGAGGAAGGGCAGUAAGUUAAUACCUUGCUGUUUUGACGUUACCGACAGAAUAAGCACCGGCUAACUUCGUGCCAGCAGCCGCCGUAAGAC
rnacentral:rRNA from 1 species